rnacentral:rRNA from 1 species
GCGGUGGAGCAUGUGGUUUAAUUCGUAUGAUACGCGAGGAACCUUACCUGGGCUCAAAUGUAUGUUGACGUAUUCUGAAAGGGAUACUUCUUCGGACAAUAUACAAGGUGCUGCAUGGUUGUCGUCAGCUCGUGCCGUGAGAUGUUGGGUUAAGUCCCGCAACGAGCGCAACCCCUAUUGCUAGUUACCAUCAUUAAGUUGGGGACUCUAGCGAGACUGCCAGUGAUAAACUGGAGGAAGGUGGGGAUGACGUCAAAUCAUCAUGCCCCUUAUGACCUGGGCUACAAACGUGAUACAAUGGCUGGAACAAAGGGAUGCGAAGCAGUGAUGUGGAGCGAAACCCAUAAAAACAGUCUCAGUUCGGAUUGAAGUCUGCAACUCGACUUCAUGAAGUCGGAAUCGCUAGUAAUCGCGGAUCAGAACGCCGCGGUGAAUACGUUCUCGGGGUUU